rnacentral:snRNA from 13 species
AUACUUACCUAAUGCCGGGAACUCCGUGAUCAGGAAGGCGGAGACCCCAGGAAGAGGCCCUCCCAUUGCACUUCUGAAAAGCUGAGGCCUGCCACUUCCUUAAGCUGGGAAAGAUGUGGCAUGUGAAUUUUGGCGGAUUU